GAAUUUUGGACAAUGGGCGCAAGCCUGAUCCAGCCAUGCCGCGUGAGUGAAGAAGGCCUUCGGGUUGUAAAGCUCUUUCGGCGGGGACGAAACGGUCCGUGCUAACACCACGGGCUAAUGACGGUACUCGCAGAAGAAGCACCGGCUAACUCCGUUCCAGCAGCCGCGGUAAUACGUAGGGGGCAGGCGUUAAGCGGAAUUACCGGGCGUAAAGCGUGCGCAGGCGGCUCCUUAAGACAGAUGUGAAAGCCCCGGGCUUAACCUGGGAACUGCGUUUGAAACUGGGGAGCUGGAGUGUGGAAGAGGGGGGUGGAAUUCCAGGUGUAGCAGUGAAAUGCGUAGAGAUCUGGAGGAACACCGAUGGCGAAGGCAGCCCCCUGGGCUAACACUGACGCUCAUGCACGAAAGCGUGGGGAGCAAACAGG
rnacentral:rRNA from 1 species